rnacentral:rRNA from 1 species
AAUAAAAACUUUGCAUACAAGAAUUAAUAAAAAUGUUAUAACGAAUUUAAUUAAAUGUUUUAUCAUUAUAUAUAAAGAAUUUAUGGCAAGAUAAAGUUAUAUACAACCUCAACUCAUAUGGGACUACCCCCUGAAUUUAAGCAUAUUAAUUAGGGGAGGAAAAGAAACUAACAAGGAUUUUCUUAGUAGCGGCGAGCGAAAAGAAAACAGUUCAGCACUAAGUCACUUUGUCUAUAUGGCAAAUGUGAGAUGCAGUGUAUGGAGCGUCAAUAUUCUAGUAUGAGAAAUUAACGAUUUAAGUCCUUCUUAAAUGAGGCCAUUUACCCAUAGAGGGUGCCAGGCCCGUAUAACGUUAAUGAUUACUAGAUGAUGUUUCCAAAGAGUCGUGUUGCUUGAUAGUGCAGCACUAAGUGGGUGGUAAACUCCAUCUAAAACUAAAUAUAACCAUGAGACCGAUAGUAAACAAGUACCGUGAGGGAAAGUUGAAAAGAACUCUGAAUAGAGAGUUAAACAGUACGUGAAACUGCUUAGAGGUUAAGCCCGAUGAACCUGAAUAUCCGUUAUGGAAAAUUCAUCAUUAAAAUUGUAAUAUUUAAAUAAUAUUAUGAGAAUAGUGUGCAUUUUUUCCAUAUAAGGACAUUGUAAUCUAUUAGCAUAUACCAAAUUUAUCAUAAAAUAUAACUUAUAGUUUAUUCCAAUUAAAUUGCUUGCAUUUUAACACAGAAUAAAUGUUAUUAAUUUGAUAAAGUGCUGAUAGAUUUAUAUGAUUACAGUGCGUUAAUUUUUCGGAAUUAUAUAAUGGCAUAAUUAUCAUUGAUUUUUGUGUUUAUUAUAUGCACUUGUAUGAUUAACAAUGCGAAAGAUUCAGGAUACCUUCGGGACCCGUCUUGAAACACGGACCAAGGAGUCUAACAUAUGUGCAAGUUAUUGGGAUAUAAACCUAAUAGCGUAAUUAACUUGACUAAUAAUGGGAUUAGUUUUUUAGCUAUUUAUAGCUAAUUAACACAAUCCCGGGGCGUUCUAUAUAGUUAUGUAUAAUGUAUAUUUAUAUUAUUUAUGCCUCUAACUGGAACGUACCUUGAGCAUAUAUGCUGUGACCCGAAAGAUGGUGAACUAUACUUGAUCAGGUUGAAGUCAGGGGAAACCCUGAUGGAAGACCGAAACAGUUCUGACGUGCAAAUCGAUUGUCAGAAUUGAGUAUAGGGGCGAAAGACCAAUCGAACCAUCUAGUAGCUGGUUCCUUCCGAAGUUUCCCUCAGGAUAGCUGGUGCAUUUUAAUAUUAUAUAAAAUAAUCUUAUCUGGUAAAGCGAAUGAUUAGAGGCCUUAGGGUCGAAACGAUCUUAACCUAUUCUCAAACUUUAAAUGGGUAAGAACCUUAACUUUCUUGAUAUGAAGUUCAAGGUUAUGAUAUAAUGUGCCCAGUGGGCCACUUUUGGUAAGCAGAACUGGCGCUGUGGGAUGAACCAAACGUAAUGUUACGGUGCCCAAAUUAACAACUCAUGCAGAUACCAUGAAAGGCGUUGGUUGCUUAAAACAGCAGGACGGUGAUCAUGGAAGUCGAAAUCCGCUAAGGAGUGUGUAACAACUCACCUGCCGAAGCAACUAGCCCUUAAAAUGGAUGGCGCUUAAGUUGUAUACCUAUACAUUACCGCUAAAGUAGAUGAUUUAUAUUACUUGUGAUAUAAAUUUUGAAACUUUAGUGAGUAGGAAGGUACAAUGGUAUGCGUAGAAGUGUUUGGCGUAAGCCUGCAUGGAGCUGCCAUUGGUACAGAUCUUGGUGGUAGUAGCAAAUAAUCGAAUGAGACCUUGGAGGACUGAAGUGGAGAAGGGUUUCGUGUGAACAGUGGUUGAUCACGAGUUAGUCGGUCCUAAGUUCAAGGCGAAAGCCGAAAAUUUUCAAGUAAAACAAAAAUGCCUAACUAUAUAAACAAAGCGAAUUAUAAUACACUUGAAUAAUUUUGAACGAAAGGGAAUACGGUUCCAAUUCCGUAACCUGUUGAGUAUCCGUUUGUUAUUAAAUAUGGGCCUCGUGCUCAUCCUGGCAACAGGAACGACCAUAAAGAAGCCGUCGAGAGAUAUCGGAAGAGUUUUCUUUUCUGUUUUAUAGCCGUACUACCAUGGAAGUCUUUCGCAGAGAGAUAUGGUAGAUGGGCUAGAAGAGCAUGACAUAUACUGUUGUGUCGAUAUUUUCUCCUCGGACCUUGAAAAUUUAUGGUGGGGACACGCAAACUUCUCAACAGGCCGUACCAAUAUCCGCAGCUGGUCUCCAAGGUGAAGAGUCUCUAGUCGAUAGAAUAAUGUAGGUAAGGGAAGUCGGCAAAUUAGAUCCGUAACUUCGGGAUAAGGAUUGGCUCUGAAGAUUGAGAUAGUCGGGCUUGAUUGGGAAACAAUAACAUGGUUUAUGUGCUCGUUCUGGGUAAAUAGAGUUUCUAGCAUUUAUGUUAGUUACUUGUUCCCCGGAUAGUUUAGUUACGUAGCCAAUUGUGGAACUUUCUUGCUAAAAUUUUUAAGAAUACUAUUUGGGUUAAACCAAUUAGUUCUUAUUAAUUAUAACGAUUAUCAAUUAACAAUCAAUUCAGAACUGGCACGGACUUGGGGAAUCCGACUGUCUAAUUAAAACAAAGCAUUGUGAUGGCCCUAGCGGGUGUUGACACAAUGUGAUUUCUGCCCAGUGCUCUGAAUGUCAAAGUGAAGAAAUUCAAGUAAGCGCGGGUAUAAAGGCAAGAUGGAGUGAUGAAGAGAAGUGGAUGAUGCGAGAAAGGAGGUUGAGCUCACAGCAAAUGGAUGUAAACACAUAAACAAGCAACUAGC